AAAUUGUGGGCCUGGUGAUGGGUUUGGGAACGGUUCGGCUUACUACGGGUCUCGGGGCUUUAAACUGAUCCAGGUACUAGUACCAGUCUGGCCCAUAGGUUAGGUGGUGACAAAAACAAUGCAUAUUUAUGAGGUCAAAACAAAGGUUAGGGAGAAACAAAAGCAAACAGUGGACAUCAAAGAAUGACUGUGUAUAGCUAAUAAUCUGAAAACCUUCAUCAUGCUCCAGGUCAUUGGUUAUCUCAUCCCCACCAGAUGCCGCGUCCCUAAAAUGGGUGAAAUGCUUCUGGCUUGAAAUUAUUUUAUCCAAUGCAUUUCUUAUAGCUGCAGCAUGUGCAGCAGAAUCCCUGUAUCCAACAAAAUCCCUUACCGGAGACACAUAGCCAUCUUCCUCAAUCAUAGGAUGAUAUGGUGUCUUCGGUUCAGCAAUUUUUUUCCUGACAGGCUUUUCUUUCUCAAUUUCUCUCAGAUUAGCUUCAUCCCAUUUUAUGCGGGUCUUCAUUUUUUCGGAUGGUUAUGGUAGCCACCCUAGAUGCCCAGAAAAUUCAGCUCAAAUACACUACAAAAAAUAUAAAAAAUAAAUUCUACUUGGAAAUCAAAAUAAUUCAGUGAACAUAAUGAUUAGGACUAUACUGGUUCUCUCCUGCCUGCUAUCUAAUAUGGUACUACAGAAGGGGAAAGACAAAGGCCAGGCCAUACCUCUGAUAUCUUAACUCAAACAAAGAGAAGUUCAAAAUGUG
rnacentral:misc_RNA from 1 species